CACGUAGGGUCCGAGCGUUGUCCGGAAUCAUUGGGCGUAAAGCGCGCGUAGGCGGCCCGAUAAGUCUGCUGUGAAAGUCCAGGGCUCAACCCUGGAAUGCCGGUGGAUACUGUCGGGCUAGAGUUCGGAAGAGGCAAGUGGAAUUCCUGGUGUAGCGGUGGAAUGCGCAGAUAUCAGGAGGAACACCUAUAGCGAAGGCAGCUUGCUGGGACGACACUGACGCUGAGGCGCGAAAGCGUGGGGAGCGAACAGG
rnacentral:rRNA from 1 species